GCUUUUUGCCUCUGCUCCCCUUCAGAGAAGGUUGUGUCCCUGCUGCUCUUUACUUUCUCCCUCAAUAAACCUCUCUGGAUCAAGCAAGCAAGAAGCCCUCCUGCUCUUCAUUCUGUGGGUUUUCUGAUAGUCCCUUGCACAUCUUUUUCUGAAUGAGGCCAGUGUUUGCAGAAGGAACCUGGGGAAGAACUGUUUCUGCAGUGGUUUGGUCCUCUCUGGAGGAAAAAGAAAAGAUUUACUUCCUCCUGCAGUGGCACAGGGAAACAGAGAAUGGGGGUCACACUUUGUUUCUGCUGCUGCUCAGGGAGAGAAGUCCUUCGCCUGUUCCAGCAUGGGGUCUCCAUGAAGUUCUCCAUGGACUCCUCAAAUCCCUUUGACAAUAAAAUUUGUGUUUAUUUAGAGAAGAAUAAAAACAUCACGGCAAAUCCAAGCUACUUUAUUCCCAGAUACUGCAAUCACGACCUUGGAGUUACUUACCCACCAAGGAGGAAGGACUGGCCAGGAGCUUGUCUUAACUCAUCUGAUGUGCCAGGGUGAAUCUGGAAGAUACAAUUGAUACUAAGCAAGAGGAUAAGAAGGAGGGUCUGAGACAGUCAUUGCUGGUCACUGAAAAAUAGUGUCUUAUUUGGAUAUCCUGCAAAACAUAAAAUAUUUUUAAAUAGAAUCUAAGAGUCAGCAAGGCUGAUAACUAAAAUUACAAUCAGGUACAAAUUAUUCUUGUUUUGUUUUUGUCAGUGGCUGUGAUUUUAACUGCAGUGAUCUGUUACCUCGUUUAUACUGUUCUUUGUCUCAUUGUAAUUUUGGCUAAAUUAAUGGGAGAAAGAGAGAAUCUUUGACUUCUCUUUUUGGGCCUGUAUGCUGAAAGAAGGAUAAGAUUGCAAUUUUAGUAAUGCAAUUUUUUUUAUUUUCAAAGCUCUUGUUGGACAUAGGAAGGUGUCUUUUCCGUAAGGGCUUAAUAACUCAUCUAGCUAAAAUAUUCAUUCCACUCAUAUUCACCCAAUUUCUCUGAUAUUUUUAAUCCUAUGGGUAGCUCCUUAACAAAAGUUCUACAAGUGAGUCUGAAACAAAUACCUUUCCUGAUAUUAAUAUAUAUGCCUUCAAGGCCCUUAGGAGUUAUUUACAUCAACCAAUGAUAGGGGCUUCUCUGUAUAGCCUGAAAAAAAACCAGAAAAAAAACCAAAUACCCCGUGCAGGAUUUAGCCUCUUUUACAUCUCACCACCUGGCUUACAAGGUUGUAUAUCUUUCAGCUGAAUCAUUUAUGACAAGAGAAGCUGUUAAAGUUUCUUUUGCAGAUUGUUUAGAUGUGGCUGCCAAUGAAAAGACAUUAAUAAGUUAGCUAUUGCAGCUGUGCUUGGAUGGACCCAAGGCACUUUCAAUUUUGCUAUUAUUCAAAAAAUCUGGCAAUUCAUUUUUUUUUCCCUGUAUGUGCUCUCGAGCUGGGCUCUUCAGGUUUGUCUGGUUCCAGAGCUGGUUUGGAUUUCCAUUUGUUUAGAGACAGCCUUUUGAGGAGGGUGCUGGGGGGCUGUUUGUGCGGAGUGUUGAGUGACAGGCUCGUCACACGUCAGGCUGCAGCAGGGCAGGGGCUCUGGUGACAGCAAGGCUUCGCCAGCCAGAUCUGCACUACCCAACUACCCAGACAGGGCUCAACGAACUCCUUUGCUGCUUUUCUGCUGUAAUUCUUAGGGUUUCCUGUCUUGCCCAGCUGACGAGGCAGAAUAGAGCUAUUUAUGUGUGUGUGUGUGUGAUGAAGAGCACAGUCUAAGCGUAUUCAUUAGGUCACAUUUCAGUGACAGAAAGCUAAGGUAAACUCUGCUGAAAUCAGUGUAAAGUUUAACAACUUUUUGCAAGUUACCUAAGCAGCAAUUCCAUAAUUUUUUUUUUGGUGUCUAAGUACUGCUUUGAAUGUCCUGCUAUAGAAUGCAGAGGUCCCUUGAAGUAAAAAGUUGUCACUGAUCAGCAUUACUAUAUCAUGAAUGUUUGUGAGAGCUUUUGUGGUUUUUGCCAGAAUGAAUAUUUAGUAAGAGAUACAUUACUCACCUGUAUCUGGUAAUACAUCUGGAUAAAGGUAACAGAAAAAUAUGAGAAAUAUGUCAGCAUGAUUUAUCUGCAGAAAAAGCGCAGUGAAGCUUUUCAAUGCAUGCACCAGGAGCUUCUCUAGAGAGGAUGUACUGCUUAUUCAUAAUCAUUUGACUAGAGAAAUGCAAGACACCCUUUACAUCCUUUUCCCUGGCAGGGUUGUUUCCUACUGGUUAUAUUCCUGUACUCUGUUUAAUUCUGCCACCUUGAUGACUCCUGGAAAAGGCAUUGCAGUACCAAGCAAACACAGCAGCUCCUGUUAGCACAAUUUCCAGUAGUCAGUAUGAGAUAAUAUUUUCUGACCAACCUAAUUUUGCCAAGUAAAACAAGUUUUUAAUAUCUUCCUUAUUGUUCUGCAUUUCUCCCUUCUCCUAACUGCUCCACUUCUAUUAUCACUAUCGAAAUGAAAAGGAAAUUAUGGAAUAGAAAGAAAAAAACCCAAAAUUUUAGAAUCAUCCAGCCAUCACAGAAAAAGACAUAGCUCCUACAAGUUUACAAAAACCUCCCCGUAAUUUUUAAGCUAUGAGGAAUUAAAUUUACAGUCUAAUAAAUGCACACAGCAAUCACAAAGUUUGAGCAUCAGUACAUGCGCUGUAGAAGUUAAUGAUUUGCUUAAAAAUUGUACUGGUAAUGACCUGAUAUCAGCUUUUUGAGUAAUUCAGUUUCAGAAGGAUGUAGGGGUUUUUAACUGCAAAACUCAGACUUAAUUAUUAGAUGUGAUUUACAUCCCAGCACAGGCUGUGAGAAAUGUUUAUUAUGAAACUUGUAGCCGUAAAAUUUUAAUUAUACACUGAAAAAAAAUCAGGUUAAGCGCAAGCAAACAUUUAAAAAGAUUCACUGGUUUCUUUGUAUCUGGUCCCAUUUUAAGAUGAACCACUGAAACAUUUGCAUCUUGCUAUCAAAUCAAAUCACUGAGACAGUACAAUGCUGAUGUGCAGGGGACAGGUCAUGGAACUCAGACUCAGGCUGAAGUGGGGUGUGCUCAGUUUGGCUCCUGGCAAAUGAUGCCAAGGGAUCUGGUCAUCACUCACAGGGAUUCUCCCUGGCAAGGGCCACUGUGGAGAAAAGAGAAAGGAAUCUUGCGUGAUUCAAUGUGAAUCAAGUAAAAUGUGCUUAUUGUGUCUCUAAACAUUGUGUUUUAUUUCUUAUCCUGGUCUACACAGUCACACAUUAUUUGAUUGGUUGCUCCAUUUUUUAAUGUAUUUCUUGAUUGGUACCUCUAUUUUGUCUAUGAGGCAAAAAUCUUUUCCUUAAUCUAAAUGGUAGAUGCUGUAAAUGUCAUUUCACUGGGGUUGGCACCCCUUUGUUUGUCACUAACUUUUCUGCUUCUUUCUUCUUGCAACAUCAUCUUUAUGUCUAUAAAGAUGAAUGUAGCUUUAUUAUAAAGAUGACUCAGUUCUUGAGUUCUAGAAGGUGAAGUUGUUUCAUUCAGUACAUGUUCAUUUUCCUGUAAAUAUAACCCUACAGGCCACUGAGAGCAGUUGCCAAUUCUUAUUGCACUGCAGUAAGCACUGUUGCACUGUACAGCACUGUUGAUGUACCUACCAACAAUCCUUCCUGGGAUUUUACCAGCUGAAUGUUCCAGGCAUACCCCUGAUGUUUCCCAAAUCUGCUUUCAGAGGUUGAUAAAUAUAUCUGGAGAGUUUUCUUUACUUGGAUAUGCUUUUUACUUGAUGGAAUUUUUGGUUUUUUGAUGCCUCCUUUACGUUAGCCUAAAUAGUGCAAUUUUUCUUUUAAAGAACUCUGAGCACUGUAUUUGAUAUUUUUAUCAUUAUUUUCAAGGGGAAUGUUAAAAUAAGACAGGAAAAAACAGAAAUAUCCUCUUCCACCUCAGAAAUAAAAGCAAUAAAUGUCUAUGGCCUGCUAAUACUCUGAUAACAAAGAUUAAGUCUUUUUAAUAUUGACUUCAUCUGUGGUUAUACCACAUUUGACACAAUUAUCUUGACAAAUUACUAUUAAAUAGAAAAGUUUUCUGUACAGAUGUUUCUUUGCUGGCUUGUCUGUUAGCCUGGCUUUUAUUUAUCUAUGCUGUUCAUCUUUGUGAUGCAUUUCAAAAGAGCUAAAUUGAAUAUUUUUGCUCAACUAGACUAGGUUCUAGGAAGUGUUAUCCUAUGGCUACCUGUCCUCAGUGUGUGUCAGGUGAUACAAAUCACCACAGUAUGCCCUCCAUUAAUUUGAAACAUUUGCCCUGAUGUCUCCUGGAAAGACUUGGUGCAUCAGAAAAUUAAUGUAUAAAGAUUGUACCUGUUGAAAAGCUUUUUGUUCUUCACUUAGAAGUCUUUAUAGGUCAAAAGAAAAUAGAUUUAAAUGCUCCCUACUCAACUGUAGUACUUAAAGUGCUAGUCAACCCCUGGUGGGUGCCUUUUACACCCUCCUGAGUGCUUUUCUUAAAUUGAUCUGGUACUGGCUCUUCUUGGAAUUUUUUCAUGUCAUUGUAGUUGGCAGUAGCAGACUGAAAUCAUUGAUGGUGUUUUGUGGCUAAAAUUACCUGCAAAAAACUGUUCAGAAAGGAUUAUUUUUACAGAAAGUAAAAUUGGGUUGAAUGUAGUUUUCUGAUGAGGUUCACAAGGUUUGAUUUCUGAAUGCAAUUAUUUGAUAAGACACAUGAGAGAAUAGGCAAAUAUCUAAAAAUAAGUUCAAAGAAGUAAAGAAGCAGAAGAAAGUAUGAAAUAUUAACUGAUAUUUUUACACAAAUGGAAUGAAAAAUAUUAAUCAACACAGAGCAUCUCAAAUAAAUACUCAAAAAUGUUUGCAAGGAGAAAAUUUGUCACAAGAAUCAGACAGAUGAUAUGAAAAAUUCCUGUUUGUUUUUAUUCAAAGCCACCAUUUGCAGAAUCAUCUAAUUACUUAGAAGCAACUGCAGCACAGCACAUUUACACAUUAUUUUUCUCCAUCUUCUUUUUUGCCAAAAAACAUAAAAUCCUCCAGCUAUACUUACAUUUCUUUUCUUUUGCCUUGUUGAUUACAUACUCCAAACAAAGAUCAGAGUUUCUUUGUGUUAGGUUUAUACAGACAUAAAAAAAUAUGAAUGUAAUGUCUCUCCAAAGAUAUUGUAAUUUUAUCACAUAAUGAGAACAAGAGUAAAAGAAAAUUUUGGAGACAGAUAAUUUUUGGGAGUCUCACUGGGAACCCUGGAGUAAAUAUAGAAGUUGUAGAAGAUAAACUAGGAGUAAGAACUAGGCACCUAUUCUUAUGUGAAAGUACUUGAAAUAGUAAUGGCAACAAUAGGAGCCAUCUAAACCAUAUCUAAUUUAUUUAUGUGAGUAUAUUUUUAUUCACCAUAGACUGUAUUGAAUAAUAGACUGAGAAUUAUACUGUAUAGAUAAAAAUCCUGGUCCUAGUACAGCAUCUGAAUCAUUGUUGAUGGUCUUAAAGAUGAAUGUCGCAAAAAGGAACAGAAGAAUUUGAGGGCAUACAAUUAUAACUGAAAGGAAAAAAGAAAAAAAAAAGAGUAGAUUGGUUUUGGAGUCCCAACUUGAGAUUUGCUGCUGCCAAAUCAUAGAAGGAGACAUGUUUUUCACUUGUAAACUGAGCAAAUUUGAGCUGUAAGUGCAUAGGAGACACAUAUAAACCCAUGAUGAUUUUUGAAAGUGCAUAGCUUUGCUUUAAUGGGAAAUAGUUGAUAUAGCUGGGAAAAAAUAUCCUCAGCAGUAUUUCAAAUGUAGGACUGAGAAAGAGUGCUCUCAUGGUAAGAGUUACUGCUCUUUGUUUUCUUCUUCUGUUCAUUCUAAUAUUCUGGAGUUUGACUAAAUUUAUGUGUAUGUUCAUGUUCAUACAUACACAUAUAUAUCAUAAUAAAUGCAUGUCAAAUUUUAUUAUCCUUUAAAAGAAAAGCAGAGCAGGAAUGCCACAUUAUGAUGGCUUUGUUAAGAGACAGGAUAUUUCAGUUCCAAGUCCUUAAUUAACCUUGUGUUCUUAGGCAGUACUUAUUUGUGAAUUGAUGACAGUCCUACUCAACACAGAGCCAAGACUUCUUUCCUUCCUGGAACUGGUGUGAUGAGAGAAUCCAGGUCACUGUGACACAGCAGGGCCAGUCCUGGGUAUGCUUUGAACCUGGCACUUCACUCCUAACUGGCCCUCACUGUCCAAGGUCAGGAUUCCUGACAGUGCCGGACAAAGCAGAACAUUCCUUCCACCUUUUCUUUAUCAUCUUUUAAAACAUUUUUUUUUUUUUGCAGACUGCUUUGGACCAUCUCUUCCAGCACAGGGGGAACAUAACUUCUUGCCCAGAUCCUGUACAGACUUUACCAUAGCAGAAUUGUCACUCCUUAUUGCAGUCAUUUCCCUACAGCCCAAACAAGAAGCAGCAAAAUUAAUUUGGUUUUACCCCUGUUGCCCACCUCAGAGGAAAAAUUGAGAAGAUAAAUCUUUUAGGAUGAGUAAGAAGUGCAUAGGCUAAAAAAGGAACUGUGAGUUUUUCCAGGUGCUUAUUUCUGUGCACAGUUGCAGAAUGUUUGUUUAAAGUAUAAAUUUUUU